AGCUUUAGUUGAUGGUGUAAAAGUAUUCAAUUUCCUUACAGGUUUCACUGAACAAGGACUUCUACUGUAAAAUGGAGAAUUGGCAUACAAAAUUGGAAACUUGGCGAGACCGUGCUGCCAAGCUAACUGUAUGAACACAUUCUUGGUACUCUCCUGGAUUCUAUGACCCAAGAAGCCCAAGUUAAUACAAGGGUCUUGCAAGUUCAAAGUGCAAAAACCACAUCAGAAAAGAUUAAGUUGAUAUACCAGACAAGCCACCAUAAGGGCACGGCUUGUUCCUCCGAGAGAAUCCUGUAUUAUGCGUGUCAAUUUGCUAUCUCUGUAUGGUACUCUCUGCUUGCUGUUAUUAAGUGCAUAUAUCACGUUCGAUAGUGCAAAAA